rnacentral:tRNA from 1 species
UUACAAAUAGCUUAUAUAAAGUGUAGUGCUGAAGAUACUAAGAAAUUUUUUUUGUAAA